rfam:Rhizoctonia solani isolate BBA 69670 genome assembly, contig: RSOLAG22IIIB_scaffold01289
GACCUCUUAGCUCAGUGGUAGAGCGUGAGAUUCCAGCUUUUCUUGGAACCUCCUCAAGGUCGUCCGUUCAAUCCGGGCAGGGGUCA